rnacentral:rRNA from 1 species
UACGUAGGGUGCGAGCGUUGUCCGGAAUUAUUGGGCGUAAAGAGCUCGUAGGCGGUGUGUCGCGUCGGCCGUGAAAACCUGGGGCUCAACUCUGGGCGUGCGGUCGAUACGGGCAUCACUUGAGUUCGGCAGGGGAGACUGGAAUUCCUGGUGAUAGCGGUGGAAUGCGCAGAUAUCAGGAGGAACACCAGUGGCGAAGGCAGGAUCUCUGGGCCGUAACUGACG